GAUGAACGCUGGCGGCGUGCCUAAUACAUGCAAGUCGAGCGAACAGAUGAGGAGCUUGCUCCUCUGACGUUAGCGGCGGACGGGUGAGUAACACGUGGAUAACCUACCUAUAAGACUGGGAUAACUUCGGGAAACCGGAGCUAAUACCGGAUAAUAUAUUGAACCGCAUUGUUCAAUAGUGAAAGACGGUUUUGCUGUCACUUAUAGAUGGAUCCGCGCCGCAUUAGCUAGUUGGUAAGGUAACGGCUUACCAAGGCAACAAUGCGUAGCCGACCUGAGAGGGUGAUCGGCCACACUGGAACUGAGACACGGUCCAGACUCCUACGGGAGGAAGCAGUAGGGAAUCUUCCGCAAUGGGCGAAAGCCUGACGGAGCAACGCCGCGUGAGUGAUGAAGGUCUUCGGAUCGUAAAACUCUGUUAUUAGGGAAGAACAAAUGUGUAAGUACCUAUGCACGUCUUGACGGUACCUAAUCAGAAAGCCACGGCUAACUACGUG
rnacentral:rRNA from 1 species